rnacentral:rRNA from 1 species
UACGGAGGGUGCAAGCGUUAUCCGGAUUCACUGGGUUUAAAGGGUGCGUAGGCGGCGCGGUAAGUCGGAUGUGAAAUCUCGGAGCUUAACUUCGAAACUGCAUUCGAUACUGCCGUGCUUGAGGACUGGAGAGGAGACUGGAAUUUACGGUGUAGCGGUGAAAUGCGUAGAUAUCGUAAGGAAGACCAGUGGCGAAGGCGGGUCUCUGGACAGUUCCUGACGCUGAGGCACGAAGGUCAGGGGAGCAAACGGG